rnacentral:rRNA from 1 species
AUUGAACGCUGGCGGCAGGCUUAACACAUGCAAGUCGAGCGGGGGAGGUUGCUUCGGUAACUGACCUAGCGGCGGACGGGUGAGUAAUGCUUAGGAAUCCGCCUAUUAGUGGGGGACAACAUUCCGAAAGGAAUGCUAAUACCGCAUACGCCCUACGGGGGAAAGCAGGGGAUCUUCGGACCUUGCGCUAAUAGAUGAGCCUAAGUCGGAUUAGCUAGUUGGUGGGGUAAAGGCCUACCAAGGCGACGAUCUGUAGCGGGUCUGAGAGGAUGAUCCGCCACACUGGGACUGAGACACGGCCCAGACUCCUACGGGAGGCAGCAGUGGGGAAUAUUGGACAAUGGGCGGAAGCCUGAUCCAGCCAUGCCGCGUGUGUGAAGAAGGCCUUUUGGUUGUAAAGCACUUUAAGCGAGGAGGAGGCUCUUAAGGUUAAUACCCUUGAUGAGUGGACGUUACUCGCAGAAUAAGCACCGGCUAACUCUGUGCCAGCCGCCGCGGUAAAAC